AACGAACGCUGGCGGCAUGCCUAACACAUGCAAGUCGAACGAGACCUUCGGGUCUAGUGGCGCACGGGUGCGUAACGCGUGGGAAUCUGCCCUUGGGUUCGGAAUAACAGUUAGAAAUGACUGCUAAUACCGGAUAAUGUCUUCGGACCAAAGAUUUAUCGCCCAGGGAUGAGCCCGCGUAGGAUUAGCUAGUUGGUGAGGUAAAGGCUCACCAAGGCGACGAUCCUUAGCUGGUCUGAGAGGAUGAUCAGCCACACUGGGACUGAGACACGGCCCAGACUCCUACGGAGGCAGCAGUGGGGAAUAUUGGACAAUGGGCGAAAGCCUGAUCCAGCAAUGCCGCGUGAGUGAUGAAGGCCUUAGGGUUGUAAAGCUCUUUUACCCGGGAUGAUAAUGACAGUACCGGGAGAAUAAGCCCGGCUAACUCCGUGCCAGCAGCCGCGGUAAU
rnacentral:rRNA from 1 species